AAAAUUGAUUUCAGACAGUCUUCGCGGAGAGUUGCCGCGGUUUCCUGCUUCAACAGUGCUUGAACGGAACCCGGCUGCUCGUCCCCCCCUCACCCCGGCCGGCCACUCAGAGCCAGCCCUCGUCACCACUUGACAGCGCCCUCCGACCGGCCCAAGGUCCCCGCCGCCACUCCAGCACCGCUCAGCCGUCGCCGCCGCCGCCACCACCACCACCGCCCCUUUUCAGCCGCCCACCAUGACGACCGCAUCCCCCUCGCAGGUGCGCCAGAACUACCACCAGGACUCGGAGGCCGCCAUCAACCGCCAGAUCAAUCUGGAGCUCUACGCCUCCUAUGUCUACCUGUCCAUGUCGUACUAUUUUGACCGUGAUGAUGUGGCUUUGAAGAACUUUGCCAAAUACUUUCUUCACCAAUCUCAUGAGGAGAGGGAACAUGCUGAGAGACUGAUGAAGCUGCAGAACCAGCGAGGCGACCGAAUCUUCCUUCAGGAUAUCAAGAAACCAGACCGUGAUGACUGGGAGAAUGGGCUGAAUGCAAUGGAAUGUGCGCUGUGCUUGGAAAGAAAUGUGAAUCAGUCGCUACUGGAACUGCACGAACUGGCCACUGAAAAAAAUGAUCCCCAUCUGUGUGAUUUCAUUGAGACUCAUUACCUGAGUGAGCAGGUGGAAGCCAUCAAAGAAUUGGGUGACCACAUAACCAACCUGCGCAAGAUGGGGGCCCCUGGAUCGGGCAUGGCAGAGUACCUCUUUGACAAGCACACCCUGGGACACAGUGACAGCUAAGCCUCAGGCUGGCUUCCCACAGCCACACGGGUGACUUCCCUGGUCACCAAGGCAGUGCAUGCAUAUUUGGGUUACCUUCAUCUUUUCUAUAAGUUGUAACAAAACAUCUACUUAAGUUCUUUCUUUAGUACCAUUCCUUCAAAUAAAGUAAUUUGGUACCC